GAUGAACGCUGGCGGCGUGCCUAAUACAUGCAAGUCGAGCGAACGGACGAGAAGCUUGCUUCUCUGAUGUUAGCGGCGGACGGGUGUGUAACACGUGGAUAACCUACCUAUAAGACUGGGAUAACUUCGGGAAACCGGAGCUAAUACCGGAUAAUAUUUUGAACCGCAUGGUUCAAAAGUGAAAGACGGUCUUGCUGUCACUUAUAGAUGGAUCCGCGCUGCAUUAGCUAGUUGGUAAGGUAACGGCUUACCAAGGCAGCGAUGCAUAGCCGACCUGAGAGGGUGAUCGGCCACACUGGAACUGAGACACGGUCCAGACUCCUACGGGAGGCAGCAGUAGGGAAUCUUCCGCAAUGGGCGAAAGCCUGACGGAGCAACGCCGCGUGAGUGAUGAAGGUCUUCGGAUCGUAAAACUCUGUUAUUAGGGAAGAACAUAUGUGUAAGUAACUGUGCACAUCUUGACGGUACCUAAUCAGAAAGCCACGGCUAACUACGUG
rnacentral:rRNA from 1 species